rnacentral:rRNA from 1 species
UACAGAGGUCUCAAGCGUUGUUCGGAUUCACUGGGCGUAAAGGGUGCGUAGGUGGCGAGGUAAGUCGGAUGUGAAAUCUCCGAGCUCAACUCGGAAAUGGCAUUGGAAACUACCUUGCUCGAGGGUCGGAGGGGGGACUGGAAUACUUGGUGUAGCAGUGAAAUGCGUAGAUAUCAAGUGGAACACCAGUGGCGAAGGCGAGUCCCUGGACGACUCCUGACACUGAGGCACGAAAGCUAGGGGAGCAAACAGG